rnacentral:lncRNA from 1 species
CCAAACUAAGUUUGGAAUUGAGAAGCUAUAAUCUCUCAGUUCCUGAGUUCAAUUCGAUGUAUAAUUUCAUUAACAUAUAUGCUUGUCCCAUGUUAUUAUAGUGUGACAGAACUAUCAUUAUUUACACUAGAAGGACUUUAUACAAUGCUAGGAAUGAUGGAUUUUUUCCAAGAACCAAAGUAGGCCUCCUCAAAUCUCUCAUCUCGCACAAUAGCUAGCAAUAGAGUUUGAUGAAAUAGCGUUGAAGGAAGUUGGAACCAAUGAUAUGCAAUAGUGGGUCACAAACAGCCCAGUGAGCUUGUCAUCUUAAAGUCAUAGGAUGGUUUUUUGGGUGCCUCCUCCCUAUGAUUUGCCGAAAGUCAACUUUGAUGCUUCAUGGAAGGAAGGUGAGGUAGGGACGUGAUUCAUUUUGAGGUAUCAUGCUCGUUAUGUUUUAACAACUGUGAGAUUUUAAGCUAAUUCAAUUCUUAAAGCAGUGGUCAGGGUAGCUUGGCAAGGGAUUUUAAUAGCUAUCAACACCAUAAAUUUUUUGGAAUAUGGCUUGAAGGAGACUUAACAAUGGUGAUUCAGUAGAUCAAGAAGCAUUGCAAAGCCUCCUUGAGCAUAAAAGCAAGACUUCACUUCCUCCUUUCUCACAAUCUACAAUGCACCACAUGUUUGGAGUUUUCUCUACUUCCCAUGUAUUCAAGGAAACUAACCAACCUAUUAAUUUGUUGGUAUGUCUGUGUCAAUAUUGACUUUUAUUCUAUGGCUUCUCUACCUCAACAACUUUGAACCCUUAUGCUAGUUGAUGCAACAAAAGUUUGCUUUAUUGGAUCACAAUUAAGCAUUUGUUUGUUUUUAUUGGGGUCCUUAUGACACCCUGAUAUACCUUUUCAAAAAAAGCCAAUUGCAAAUGUAGGCUGCCUUUGUUAUUAUUCUACUUCUUUAAAAAUUGGAAAUAUGAAAUCUAUUUCCAUUUUAUUAUUAUAUUUCUCACAAUAAACUAUGAUUAGCAUGCUCCUUCUUUCUCUCUCUCGAUAAUAGAACUGUAGAGCCCAAGAUAGUGAAAGGCCAUAGUGGAAGAUGGAAGCAUGGAAUCAUGCAAGCAUCAAGAGGGUGAAGAUUGGGGGAGGGGGGCAAUUGGGGAUAAUGCGAUAGGAGCUACUCAAAUAGGAGUGCGCUCAACUGGAUUGAUGGAUGUCGAGAAUAGAUGGCACCACUCUUGAGGGAACGAAUGAAUGAACGGGCGUCAAGAAUGAACAAACAAAUGUCGGGAACAAAAAAAGAUGGAUGACAACAGAAGAUAGGUGCCAAGGAUGAACAAAUGGAUGCCAAAAACAAAUAGAUAGAUGCUGACAAAAAAUAGACACCAAGAAUGAACUAAUGGAUGGACGAACAUCAGACCAUAGGCUUGAUGGUAGCUACUUAGUUAUUUUAUAUCACUGCUCCACCGCCAUUGUCUGAUCGCAACCCUUUCUAGUGUCUCACUCAUAGCAUGGGCUUCUCCCCCUUCGGCCCCACAUCUCAAGCUUUGGCAAUCUCUGUUGGUGCUUAAUCUCUCUUGCUUGCUCUUCCAACAUAUGUAGGCCUUCGAGUAUUAGUUGAGGAGGAAGAGGUGGCAUGAUUAAGGAGGACAGUAGAUGGAGGAAGGUACUUGAGAGGCAGGCAGUAGGAGAGAUGAGCAGCAUGGCGGCGGCCUCGAAGACAUAAAAGAAUUUUGGGUAUCAAGAUACUUAUGAUCAUUUAAAGAAACUGAUGAUCAUCAGAGAUGAGAGAGGUGUGAAAACCCUCCUUUAAAGAAAUGGAAGUGAAAAAUUUUCCCUUCACUUUUUUUCAAAAAUAACAAAUAUUAUUUAAAAAUAGAAAAGAAAUAAAAACAUGGCAGCCAAACAUGUUUUCUGCAUUGGAUUCCAUAUUUGUAUUUUUAUAAAAAAGAUAAAUAGGAAAAGAUGAUAUCAAACGAGGUUGUAAUGUUCAGUUCUGAUUGCCAAAAGAAUUAGAGGCAAGUUAGAUCAUUAGGGACAUUUUAGCAUAAGAUCCAUUAAAGUAUUGAUGCUUUUGCUUCCAUUUAACCUUUUCCUAAUGAAUUAAUCCAGAUUUAUUAGGUUAUAAAAAAUAUAUUCUUUUAUUUUCUUAAGCAAUUAUGAGUCCCAAAAAAGGUUUCAAAUUUGAAUAUUGUUCAUGUGGAAGUGUUCUUAAGAAAUUAAUUCAUCCUUUAUAUAACUUUAGAGUCGUAUCCAAAUAUAGUGACGUCAUUUGUGAACACAAAAAUGAUGUGAUUUGUCAAGGUUUUCUAUAAUCAAAACUGUGAGGCAAAAAUAGAAACAUUUUGGCUUCAAUCUAAGCCAAGGUUGAUUUUGAUAUUUAGUUGAAAUUAACUUUGGUGGCCAAUUCCAUUAUCUAUAUGGAAAUUUAUGAGUUUUGAGUGGAUAUUAAAUAUCAUUAAUUUAUUUGUAAGUCAGCAUUUCUUUCAUGUUUACAUUUUGAUCUCAUUCACUUUGGUAUCCUUAAAUUAUAUGAUAUCGAAUUUAAUGUGAUAUCAGAGGAAUAACCUAUAGUUUAACAGUCAUAUGUGUCGAUGAAAGAAAUAUUUGACACUUUAUCAUACUGUAUUGUCUCAGCACAUCCAUAAAAAUUGGACAUUCAAAGGUCCCAAACAGUAACAUAUAAGUUUGCGCAUUGCAUCUAUUAUUCUAUUUUUUAUUUUACCCUUUCCAUUUCUUUUUAUUUUAUAAACCAAUAUUUUGAAGCUUCAUUCCUAGACUUAUCAAAUAAUGUGUUAGUGAUUUCUUUUGACCAUCAGUAAUUUUCUAAGCUUAUACAAAUCUAUUUGUUUCCCUUUCUUACAAAACCUUGCUGCCUUUUUAUGUAGAACUUUUGUAAAUAAUUAUUUAGGACAUCAUGUUGUUAUGGUGAUUCAUUAAGGUUAGUUGCAGUAACAUUGGCUGGUUUAACUUGAUUCAAUUUAGAUUUUAGAAAGAAAUACCAGAAUUUAUUCUUUCCAAAUUUGCAUAACCUUUGUAAUGAGUAUUGUAUAAUCAAGUUUUUUUUUGUGUGUACGUGCGUGUGUUCAUCUACAUUUACCCAUACCUUUUUAGUUUUGUUAGAUAAAAGACACUGAUGAUCAUUUGCACGAGAAUCUAAGCAUUAGUUUCAUGAAGUGCCUUGAUCUCUUCUUGGAUUUGUAGAUUCUAGUCAUCUCGAGUGACUUCUUGCUCAAAGAUUUGGUAAAGGCAAUGGAGGACAAGUAAGGUAUAUACAAAUUGAUGAUGAUAGGUACCAGAAACAAUUAUGGGUAUCAAAAUUGUAGAUUGUUUUAGCUAUACAUUUUUUCUGCCUUUUAGGAAAAUCAAAACAUGCAAAAUUUUGUCCACAAACCAUUAUCCUAGUCUUAUUGAUAGGUCUACUUUUAUUUUUUUGUCUUGUGCUCUCUUGAAUGGGUUUUGCUUUUCAAUGUUUGUAGAUUUCAUAUGUUAUUUUUGUUGAUAAUAGAGAUUAGUGGUAGGACACCAUUAGUCACUAAAUUUAUUGCAAUAAAAAGUCUAUACAAAGGAAGAAAAAUAAAAUUACAAGAUUAGAAAGUAGGAAGACAACAAAUAUAACAAGAGAAAAACAGCACCCAGAACAAAGAGGUUCUUCAAAAUUACCAACUAGUGGGUUGUGCCCGGGGAGACUCAGAAAAAAAGCUAAAAAAUAGCUCAUCAGCAACAAGAACAAUCCCUUAAGAACUCACUAAAGCUGCUUAGAAAUCCAUCGUAGUCUUCAAGUUUGAAGCCAUCCAGGCAAUCCAUAAGAAGGCAAGCCAAACACCCAAGUCCAAAGGCAACCAUAAGAAGAUCAUCGGACAAAGGAAGAUAGACAAAUGACAUCCAAAUUGGGCCACUUCCAGACUGCAUUUUGAAAGAUAGUAUAAAUAGAUUGAUGUUGGAUAACAUCAUAUUUGCAACCCAGAUGAAGAAAUAAAGAGCCAUCACUAAAGGCCACUUAGAUGAUGGAAGAGGAAAUAAUGCACCAUGCAACAUUCCCUAAUAGAGAGCCAUAAUUUGAGAAAACUAAGUAGACUCUUAUUUCCACAUAAAAGAGACCAAGCAUUGAAAAGUUGUAGUGAAGCACGAGCGACUGAUGGUGCGAAAAGUAUUUAUUCAAAAAAUUCUUGGAGUUUCUUUCCUUCCAAAUUGCCCACAAAAUAGUAGCAAUGAGUAUAAAGGCAGCAUAUUUUGUGACCUUCAAAAAAGAAGCACUUAACCAAUUGGAACAUAAGGCCAAAAGUUGAUCAAGAGGUGAGUUGAUAUCUAGUAAAUAGCAAAGGUUAUUCCAAAUAAAGAGUGAAAAUGGAUAGGAGUAAAAAAGAUGAUCAAAAGAUUUAUUUGAUCCACCACAAAGAGAGCAACCACCUAGAAAUUUGUUGAGUUUUCUAUCCAAUUGUUAUUUGGUAUUAAGCUUAAAGCUUUGAGAUGGCCAAAGAAAAUGUUUAUCUUUGGCGGCAGAUUUUCCUUCCAAACCAACUUAGCAGGUCCCCAUUUAAUACCUCCAAGGAUCAAAAAAUUAUAGAGAGAAGUAGUUAAGUAAGAGGCAUGUUUACAUAGCCUCCAAAUGAGCGUAUUAGAUUCAAAAGUAAAUCAGACAUUUUGCAGCAAAUCAAGCAAUUGAAUUUUCUUCGACCUAGCUUCAAGAGAUAAAUUAAUAGGGCAGAAGAGAUUCCAGGAGGCUGGCUGAGUCCAGAAAAAAUUGCCACAGUCCUAGAUUUCUUCCUAAAGACUUUAAAAAGAGAAGGAAAUAAUGUAUAAAGUGGAGAGUUAGAGACCCAAUAGUCCUUCUAGAAUAGCGUAGUAAGCUCAUUACCAACACUAUAGUAGGAUGUAUUCCAUAGAUAGGCAAAAAAGCUUAAAAUUUUAUUCUAAUGAAGAGACAAUCUCUUCUUAGAUUUCUAACUAGUAGAGAGUUUAACCUUUUUGAAGUACAAUUAAGAAAUGUGUCUACUCCAAGGGCCAAGCUCUUCUUUCAAAAGCCUCCAACCCCACUUAACUAAAAGUGUCAUAUUAAAGGAUCCAAGGUCUUUAAUUUCCAAACCACCCUUUUCUUUAGAGACAUAUCUUAUCUCAACUUAUCUUGCAAGAAGAGUCAGAUUCGAGUCCACAGGAGAGCCCGAUGCAGCUUAUGAAUUCUCUUGAUCAACAAAAUAGGCAGCUUAAAUAAGGAUAAAAUAAACAGGCAAAGCAGAUAAUGCCACAUUAAGAAGAGUUAAUUUUCUACCAAUAGAGAGGAAUCUUUUCUUUCAUCUUGCUAACCUUCAUUCAAACCUUUGGAUUAAAGGUAAUCAGUCAUCUUUAGAAAGUUUCUAGCCUUUAAAGGGAGACCCAAAUAGGGCAUAGGAAGAGAGGUUGUCUGGCAGUUUAACCAAUCAGCAUGUUUAAGAAUAGGACCGGGCUCCUUAGCCAUCAAAGCCGCAGAACUUUUGGAAUAGUUAAUAGCAUGGCACAGGAUCAUCACAAAGCAAUAAAUGAUGAUCUUAAGAAGAGAGAUAUAGUCGUUUUCUGCCUCGGCAAAGGUUAAAGUACCAUCCACAAACUAAAUUUUUGAUCCACCAAAGUAUCAAGGAUUGACUAAUCCCUUGAAGAUCUUAGAUGAGGCAGCUUUAUUGAGCAUCUUAGAUAAAGCAUCCAUAACAAGAAUGAUUUGAUAUGGAGAGCAAGGAUUACCCUAUCUAAGUCCACAUUUACAAGAGAUCUAUUUUUCCACAUCACCAUUGAUAGCAAUAGCCACCUUUGAGAAGAAAAGAAUAUUAUGUAGCCACCUAAUCUGUCUCUUUGGAAGCCUGUAAAUUUGAAAAGCUUUAGAAGAUAGUCAAUGUUUAGCUUAUCAAAAGCUCGAACAAAAUCAAGCUUGUAGAUGACACCAUCAACUUUGCUUUUUUCUUCCAAAAUAGAUCACCUCAUUUUCACACAAUAUGUUAUCAAGUAUUGAUCGAUCUUUAAUAUAAGCCAUUUGUGCUUCACCAACAAGAAGUCCCAUAAAAAAUUUGGAUGGAUGGCCAAGACUUUAGUGAUAAUUUUUAGAUAACUAUAGGUGAGGCUAAUUGGGCGAUAAUCCGAAGGGGAAGCAACUGCUUCUUUCUUUGGAAUUAAGGCAAGAAUAGCAUAAUUGAGGUGAGAUGUAUUAAGAUUAUUUUUAUGAAGUUGCUGAAAAGGAAUGUGAAGGUCAUUACUCAUGAGAUCCCAAGUGGAAGAAAAUAUAGAAAAUCCAUCGGGCGGGAGCUUUUAUCUCCCUUGAAAUUAAACACAGCCUUCUUAAUUUCAUUAAGCGAGAAGUGGGUGCUAAGAGUGCUAAGAUCAGGAUGCAUAUUAGAAUAGAGUUGCCCCUAGUCUAGAUCCACAGAAUGGGUUUUUGGCUUGGUAAAAAAUUGUCUUGAAGUAAGAAGUAAAUGCAUUCUUGAUUGCACCAACACCUACCAGAUAAAUCCCAUUCCAAUUAAGCUUCUUAUUAAUGUUGGCAAUUUUAUAGAAGAAGGUAGUGUUAAGAUCCCCUUAAGCCAUCUAACUUUUGAAUGUUGUUGCUAAUAGAUUUCUUCAUCAUGAUAAGUUCUGAAAAUAUCUUUCUUGUAAGAAGAGCGACACUCCUUAGAGGGUGAGAGAAUAGAAAUUUCCUCCUUAUAAUUAAGGUCAAGGAUUUUUUGAAUGAGAGAAUCUUUUAGAAGUUGAUUAGAGAUUCUUAACUCGGAGCCCCUUUUCAUGUGAGCAGCUUUAGUAGAUCUGAACUUCACGACCAAAUUUAUAGUAACUUUGAGGAAGGAAUGAUGGAAGUCCAAGCAUGACAGACCACCUCUUUAAUAGAGUCUUGAAAUAAUUAGCUUCUAUCAAAUUUAAACUAUAGUUUUCCUUUAAGAUUGUAGAGAAAGGAAAAUGGGUGCAUGAUCCAAGCAGAGAUUCAUCAGGACUGAUUGAGUUAGGAGAGGGCAUAGAGUCCAUUCUAUAGAGAAGAGAAACUUAUCAUGCUUUGCGAUAAUUGGAGCAUCUCUAUGAUUACUUCAAGUGAAUUCUUACCUAUUAUAGCAAGACACAAAAUAAAAGAGAAAUUGAAGAAAAGAAAGAUCAAUACAAACUUAGGAUUUAUAUGAAAAAUCAUCUAAAAAAUCAAAAGAAAAAAUUAUGGGCACAAAUAGUUGGAGAUUUUUUACUAUCUUCAAUAUUGAAGAUUACAGAGUACAAGGAUAAAAAUUUUCAAAAAUUACUUGCACAUCAAAAGAUGACAUAUCUUACCAAAAUAGGUAUAUAGAUAUAUCAAUAAAAUCGGAUCAGAAUAUAGGGGUUCCACCCCCACACCUUCGAAUUUCAAUUGAAGCACCACAUCAGAAUGGUUUUCAACUUAGACAGUCUAUUGUGUAUUUUGACAAUCAUAGUGCUGUAUGCUUGAUAAAGAAUCAUAUAUACCAUAAGAAGACUAAACAUAUCUAUUAAUAUAGAUUUUCGUCUCGAGAUCGGAUCAGCUAGAGUUAGAUGGCGACGACAGGUCGGCAAUAGUCAGAUGGCGGCGAUAGGAUCUGCAAGAAAAGUCUUUAACCAGAUGUGGCUCCGACAGAGACCCUCUGACGCUCAAGUCAGAAAUCCAACAACAGAAGAGAAGUGAGCAUGUUAGGAGAGAGGAGAUUUCAUACAUGGAGGGUCCCUCUUGGCUCUUUAUUUAUGGACAGAGGCUGGAGAACCGUAGGAGGAAGGAGGAUCAGACGGUUAAUCUUGCUUUAUUGGACGAGAUAUGGCCGUUAUCCUUAUCUUAUCUGGAGAGAUUUUAUUUGUUAUUCAUCUUUAUCUACACUACUACCGGUGGUUGUUUGAAUUUUUGAAAGAAGCCUGAGAUUUGAGGAUUCAUGAAGGUCAAUCCUUGUAAGCUUCACGUCUUUGGCCAGGAUGAAAUUACCCCUAAUAAUAUUGAUAUUAGAUUUCACUUGAUUUGAGAAGUAAGUUAGAAAAUAAUUUUGAUAAGGUAAGUGAGCAUAAAUGACAAUCUUGCAGACAUAUUGAUAAAGUCCAUAACCAUAAGCAAGUUCAGGCAUUGCUUGGACUUGGUUAGAGUUAGCAGCUAUUGAGAUGGAGCCCUUAGGGUUGAAGUGGAGUUGGUGAGAGGUUUAACAUUUUAUGUAACUUGGCUAAAUAGAAGUCAAGAUAGAGAUUUAUAGAGGUGUCUUGCACUUUGAUUAGCAUUAGUCAUAAAGUUAAUAGAGGCAUUUCUACGAACCCGAUCCGAUUUUAUUGAUAUCUUUAUGUAUCUGUUUUGAUGAGAUAUAUUACCUUUAGAGGUGUAAGUGAUUUUUUAGAGUUUUUUGCCAUGUACUAUAUAAUCUCCAAUAUUGAAGGCAGUAAAAAUCUCCAACUAUCUCUUUGCAUGGUUUUUUCUUUGAUUCAGAGGGUUUUCCAUAUAAAUCCUGAGUUUGCAUUGAUCUUUAUUUUCUUCAAUUUCUCUUUUAUUUGGCAUUUUAUUACAAUAUUAUCCUUUUAGAAGGAUAUCGAAGAGUUAUAAGCAUCUAAGAAGAUCAAAAAAGGCAAAAGUAACCAUCCUAGUUUGAAGGUUUUCCUUUCUUUCAUGAGAAAGAUAAAUGGCAUUGAAAUCACCAUCCAAAGUUCACAGAUCACUGAAGGAGCUUCAAACAUUCUUCAGUUCUUCCGAAAUGAUAGGUUUAUGGGCUAUAUACAAAUACACCAAGGGUGGUUGAGGAUUUCAUCAAACCAUUGGAUUGUGAUAGAGGAGUGGAAAAUCUCAGUUUGUAAGAUCAAUCUUAUCGAGUUGUUGCUAGGAAGAAUGCCCCCAGAAGAUACAAGAUUGUUCAGAGAGGUCUAGUAGUCAAUUUGGCCAUUGGUAAAGGUCUAAGUAUUGCAUAAAAACAUGAAUCAAUUUGAUAUCUAUAAGGCCAACCAAGCAAUAGUUAGUAGAGAUUGUUAAAUCUCUGACAACUCUUCUCUCAAGGGUGUCACCCAUACUCCUAACAUUCCAACUAAGGAUGGAAAUGGCAAGAGAAACCAAAAAAGAAAGCAAAGAGGCCACUGACAGAGAUAUAGACGAGUUAGAGAAUAUUUACUGAUAGCCAUGACUGAGUUAGAUAUUAGUAUUUGCUUUAUCAUCCUCAAAUCUGAGAAUCAGAUUAACCACUUUAUCCAUCUCAAUAUAUGAUAUUUUAUUGCACAUUAUCUCGCUCAAGAAAGAAUAGUAUCAAAUUCAAGGGAGUGAAGAGGUUUGGUACCCCAAGAAGAAACAAUAGGUGUACUAAAAAUAGAACAAAGACCGGUAAUAACUGAAUCACAGCAAUUAACUCUUUCUUUCUAAAGGAGAGAAGCUUUGAGGUGUGGCUUCUCUGAUUGCCAAAUGAGCUUUGGCUUAUUGGUAGUAUUUAGAUCCCUCAAGGAUUGUAGGGAUAGAAAAAGUCUUGGAAGAAGCUGCUAGGGGUUGUAGACCCAGACACUAUUCCAUGAAGGCUGACUCGGAACGAGAGAUCCCUAGAUUAUGAGCAUUAGAAGGAAUCAAAUGCAAAGGAGACAAGCAGCAUAUGGUAGAGUGAUUCUUAGCUAAGGCCAAUUUCUCAAAAAAAUUUAUGUCUAAAUCCAAAGAAUUGGAUUGGUUUUCAAAUGAGCCACACUUAGGGUUUGCUAGCACCAAGGAGGAUGAAUCCUCAUCUAAAAUGUAGGACUCAAGCGAUUUUGAAUUCAAGUCCAACUCUCUAUAUCUAUACUGACUCGACAUUUGCUCUAUCAAAAAUUAUAAUGAAUCAGGUAAUAUAGUCCACAUCCACUAUAAGAAAAUACUCAAUCAGGGACAAAAUAAUUUUCUAUGAAUCAUAAUUUGUUGCUAAUAACCACCAUAAGGUAACAAAAUAAAAGGUUUGUCAUGAAAUAUCAUUUAAAUAAUAUUUUUGGUAAUGAAAUUAUAUUUCAUUACUAAUUUUUGUCAUAAAUUUAUGGCGGCAAAUCUUCCCACUUCGACUUUUUGGUGAGAAACUUUUGGUAAUCAUUUUCUUAAUGAAAAAUUAUUGUCACAAAAAUCAUAAAUUUUAGUGAUGAUAUAUUUUUGUUAUGAAUUGAUUAUUAAUUUUGACGAUGAUGUUAGAAUCAUUUCCAAAUAUAUAUUUAUGGAUAUAUAAAAUUAAUAAAUAGUAGUAAUUUUUUUUAAUAAAUUUAAUUCAUCACUAAUAUUUCUCAUAUUUGAUAUUAAAAUUAUAUUUCAUCACAAGUAGAUCAUUAUUUUUUGAUGAUGAUGUCAUCUCAUACCAAAUAUUUAUUUAUUGAUGACGUAUAUAAUUUUAUCAUAUAAUAUAGAUUAUUUAGUAAAGAAAUAGUAUUUCAUCAUAUAUUUUUCAAUAUAUAAAUUUAUAACAUAAUUUUUUUUACUAAUUAUCUAAUUAACUUUUAGUAAUGAUAAUUUUUUAUAGUUAAAUAUAUUUUUAUUGACAACAUAUAUAGUUUUGUCAUAAAAUACUAACUAUUUAAUGAUAAAAUAGUUUUUAUCACCUAUAUAAUGUUAUAUAGCUUUUGCGAUGGAAUAGUUUUUAUUACAAAUUAUUUAUAUAAUUUAGUGACAAUAGUGUUUCAUCAUUAAAUAUAUAUUUAUCAAAAAUAUAUAUAGUUUUAUAUUUUUAUUUUUGUCAAAAAGAAGAGGAUUAAAUUUUUUAUAAAAGUAAUUAAUUAUUAAAAUAUAAAAUAUCACAAUAUAUUUGAAAUAAGUAUAUUUUAUAAUGUAAAUAUAUUUUAAAUAAGUAUAAUAAAGUAUUAUAUUAUAUUAUAAACUAAUAUUAUCAUAAUGGUUGUGUAGUAGGUUAUAAACUAAGAGGUCUUAGGUUCAAAUCUUCAUAUAGGGAUAUAUCUUAGGAUAUAUGAAUUCAAUUGUGAAAAUAUUUUUAUCUCUAGCACAUAAUUUUAAGUGAUGAAAUAAUAUUAUUGCCAAUAGCCAUCAUUUUAUAAUAAAAAGAAUUUCAUUACCAAAAUAUUUUAUGAUAAAAUUACUUUCAUCAAGAAAAAAAAUAUUUUUGCAGCAAAAGAUAAUGCACGUGACCUUUAGAACUGAUUUUUUUAUAACAAAAUAGGUGUUUAGGCAACAUUGUUUACUAACUUUUGAUGAAUUAUUUUGUUAGGAAUCUAUAUAUAUUUAGUAUAAAUUUUAUUUUAUCAUAAAAUAUUUAAUAUUUUGUGAUGAAUUACUAUUUUCAUCAUUAAUGACUUUGAGUGAUGGGGCAUUGGCUACGAACCUGGCGACAAUUUUUUUCAUCGCAAAAUAUUUUACACGAUAAAAUUUAUUUUUUAGCAAUAAAUUUUUUUUAUGGCUAAAUGUAUACAUUCUUGUAGUGAUCAUCAGGUCCACCAAAUGAGGAGAUAAUAGUUUCACAUUGAAGAUCAGGACUAUAACAUUUGAAAGAAAGUGAGAACAAAAUGGUGCACCUUGCAAUGCAGCCAUAAGAUCGAUAGAGACAAUCGAAUAUAGUAGUAAGGCCAAAUCCAAUAAAGAUUUAGAAAAGAAAUGAGAAGAGAAAACUCAACAUGGUCUGACAGCCUCAAGCUCAAGAGAGCUUGAUCAAUUAGACUGAAUUGGAGAGAAGAUCGGCUCAUUAAUAACUAUUUCACCACCAUCGGCUCGCUGGCUUCACCAAGUUAUGACUCGGAGUGAGUCAACUAGCAGAUCUUACGAGUUUAACUUAGUAGAGAUGCCAAACCAAUUACUUGAAAUAAAAAUCGAUGAAGCAAUAGUAAUAGGAGGGACUACCUCUAAGAAAUUCUUUUGAGUUGCAGAACUAGAAGAUUCAUCUUUAUGAGCAGCUACGACUUUAUCAACAAUAAUUGCUUUACCCCUAUUCAAAAGGAGGCAAUAGGAGAUGCAAUAGAAGGGACAUUCCUUGGAGACAGAGGAGGAGAGAUAGAGAUCAAAGGUUCUCAAUCUUUAUUCUCAUCAAGCUCAGCCAUCUAAUUGAAGAAGGGGGUGAGAUCAGGAGCAGAGAGAAAGAGGAUGCCCUUACCUCAAGAAUAUAAAGUAUAAUAGGAUAAAUAAGAUUUUUGUAGUAAACAUCCACUUUUGGGGGGAUGAGAUUAGCAUGUUUGUACAGAAUGGUUACCAAAAAAAUCUUCAUGUCCAAAUUAGAGGAUUGAAAAAAGAUUUUCUGCAUUAGCCCAAUGCUAGAGACAAUUCUAUGGAUGGAUAGACUUAGCACUUCUAUAAAACAACAAUAAAUCUGAUAACCUCGAGGACAUACAUCUAAGAAGAGAAACUUCAAAUCCUCUAUCAAAGAUAGACCAUGGCGAGAUCGGGGAGGAGAAAUGAGGUGUAGUGAUAACAUCUUUUCUAUAAGCCAAGAUCACUUUCUUCUGGAAGCGAUGGGAAUUAAGAACCUAUUCUUUCCAAGAGCAUAGAGGUUUCCAAUCUUAAUCUUAAGGAAAGUUUCCAAUCCUUUAGCUAGUUGAGAGCUAGAGAUGUUAGACCCAUUUUUCAGAGAGACUCCACCACCCUAGAGUGAAUAGCCUCUUUAAAAUUAUCUUGGAGGUCCAGAUCCAGAGGGACACAAACUUUCGCCCUCUCAGGCCUCCCCAAAAUCUUUUUGUUCAGAAAAAAAGAAAAGAUAGUAGCUGAGAAGCACACUCGAGAAGAAUGCCUAUACUCUGCACAACAAAAAAAAAAACAAUCCAUUUUUGCAGAUGUUUUUAAAAUGUCCUAGCUCCCGACAUCUAAAGCAAGAGCCUUUUUUAAAGAAAAUAGACUUUGGAAAGGAUUUCUUCUCUAAAACCAUUAGCAUGUGUAUAUAAGGUGGCUUAGGAAUAGCCUCCUUAAAAGAUAUGGAUCCACCAUGACUCUGUAAUAACAAAAGUUGCCAUACUCUGACUUUUGAUAGAAGGGAGAGGAGGAAACUUUAAGGGAGUAAUAGUUUGAGAAUCUAUUAAUGAAGAGGUCAAGGGAGAAAUACUCAACACUCCUUUCAAAUGGAUAUCAAUGGAUUGAAAAAGAUGCCAACCUAACAUAGUGUGAAAAGGGCCACCAAUAGGUACAACAUUUGCCCCAAUAAGAAGGAUUGCCUAUUCAUCUUCUUAGAUGAAGCUCUAGGCAUAGGUUUCCAUCUUCUCACAAGGGAUCUUCCUCAAUGUCUUUCGCUGGAUUUUCUCUUCAUCUUCGCCCUCUGUUCUAAUGUUUGAUAAACUCUUUAUAACAUUUCAAUUAAAGAAAAUAUUUGCAGAUUUUAUUUAUCGAAAAGAAACUAAAUGCCUAUGUGGACUUGGUGUUUCUUCAUGGCUCUUUAAGGAAAUGGGUAUUAGAUUACAAUUGUUCUUGCUUAUUCCUUUCAAGAGUUCAUCAAAUAGGACUAAAAAUAAAUUGGCUUAAGGAACUAAUUGACCUUGUCUAUGUUCAACCUUUCCAUUCUUUUAUCCAGUACAAGACAAGAUGCAAUGUAUUGUGCAGAAUGGUUUGAAAGUGAUAUGCAUUUGCUAAUAUUAUUUGAUCAAACAACUUACUAGUGUCAUUAGAUUGAUUUGUCACUUUUGGGAGGAAUUAAAUAAAUAAUAAUGUAAAUUAUUUUUUCAUUGGGUAACAAGAUACAUAUUAUUAAAAGUUAUUUGAAAAAUGAUAUAAAAUUGAAGCACAUGCAAUACCAUUGAUUACCCUUUUCAAUGGGAUCAAGAGAAGAAGUGACAUGACUAUGCAUGCGCUUCAGGAGGAAAAAUGUAAUGAUAUUUUCUUAAUCAAUAGUCCCUAAUAUAAUUUUAUUAUGGGUAAUACGCUUGAUACUAAACUUGUUAACUUAUCACAAGAAAUAUUAAAAUUGUUAAAAUCUAUUAAUUAGGAAAUACAUGAGUUAUAUGGAAUCGGUAUCUCGUUGCUUAAACAAUAAAGGCCUUCAUCUUGUUCUCCAUCAAUCUUACUCUUUGUAGUUAAUUAGUGAAACACUAUGAUGGCAAAAAAUAUUUUGCACCCUUGUGACAUUUUCUAAAUAGAAGAUUUUGAGAGUUUAUGAAAUUGCAAUGAGGAAUACAAAGAUAAAAAAUAAGGUGAAUAAGACAUAACCACAUGAUCAACCUUACAUAAGGAACUCUUGCUGACAACAUUGAAAAUAUUGAACUAUUAUUUAUGGCAAAUACUAAGUGUUGUUCAUCUUAAAUCAUGUGAUUCCAGAAGAAUUAGUGGCCAAAAGAAGAUCUAAAAAUUACAACUCAUCUAUUAUCGAGUGAAGAUAGCGGACAUAGACAAGGUAACACCACUUGAUGAAGGUUGGUUCUUCAACAUCUAUUGAAAUUAGAUAUAAUCUUCUUGGAUAAAUCUGCUAUCUAAUCAUGUAGAUAAAUAAAGAUUAAUAUCUGCAAUGAGUUAGAUUGCUCUUUACAUUUGAGGAUUUUGCAAAAAUAGCCCACCUUAUCUUCUUUUUUGCAAAUCUGGGUUAUCAUUAUGUGCUUUCACAAAAGAUGUACCAGCUCCAAGUUUUUGGAUACUUAUUUUUCUAGAUCCAAACAAAUAUACUAGGAAGAUAUCUUUAAGUAAUUGUAAAUAUACAACGUAGACUAUGAUCCUGUUGAUUGGAUUGCAAGUUAGAUCUAGUCAAAUGAAAUCAAAAAAUAAGGGUUCGAUAUUGAUGAUCCAAGUGCUUGAAUGAGAGCUACUAUCUUAAAAUUUCUACUUACAUACCAAAAAUCACAUAAUUUGAAGAACAUUAACCUAUGUCUCAAGUGGUCAAUAACAAGCAUUGAAUUAUGUCAUUUAUACUAUUUAUUUUUGACAACUUGUUGGAUAGGUAGAAAUUUAGUUGGGAGAUGUAGGUCAAUUUAGUGGCUCUUGGAUCAUUAUUAUGGCACUCUAAUUUCAUCUAACUGCAUUCAACUUAAAAUCUAGUCAAUCUGAUCCUAAUUCACCUCAUAAAUACGUAUGUUUGAUAGUAAUUUGACAUAUUUUGAUAGCAAAUGCACAAAGAUUAUACAUAUUAUUUAUAUUAGAUGCACCUUUGUUUGGACAUACAUUGCACAUUGAUGAACUUGGUGUAUUUAUCAGAUCAGGCUCAAGUGUUUGAAAUAAGAUUAGCCUCUCUUUGCAAAAUAAAAAUAUUAAUGUGGCUUGUAUAAGCAAAUAUAAUAUCUUUGUAAUUCUUUUUACAAAUAUUAGCAUGUAGUGCUGGCAAUAAGAAUCCAAAUUAAUUAACCCACCUUGCUUGACUCAAGCCUGACUUGUAUAUUCUGAAUCAUUUCUUCCACUAAUUGGCUUUUGGUGAAGCAAUAUCAACCUAUAGUCUAUAUCAGCUAGUUUAGGUCAGGAUUAUUCAUGUCAUUGGAUUGUGUCUAAUAUGUUAUAAUUGUAAUAUACUAAACCAAUGAAAUUUGACUCUUUCUUGCUCUAGUUUCUCAAUCUUCUUUCUCCUCUUUUAUCUCUUUUCCCGUGAUGUGUCUCUUGUCCUCUCUUAAGGGUUGCAACUUGGUGGUUUGGAUUAAAUUUAGAGCUGAUCCUAAACUAAUCCAACCUUGGGUUUGGAUUUCUCUAACUCAACCUAAUCUCUUCUAUAGCUAUAUUCAUGUCGGGUCAGGUUAGUUUCAAGUAUGGCUAGUUUUGUUGCAAUAGUUGAGCUAGAUUGGUAGAAGUAUAGGUAAAUUUAAGACUGCGGAAAGAUUUUGAGCAUUUUUAUUAUGUAAACAUAUUGGUUAGGAUCUUCUUCAUAUGUAAUUAUAUAAUUCUAUAACUUAAUAAAGCUAAAUAUAUGGUUUAAUUCAAUAUAUUUGUAUUUCAUGUGAAACAUAUAUAAGCAUGUAUUCAUUUUUUAGGUUAGGUUGUCUAAGUUAGAUUUGGUUUAUGAUGGGUUAGGGUUUGGUAAACACCCAACAUGAGUGAAUUUAGCUUGCGAUUUUAAGCCUAGCCCAAUCCAGAUUUGUAUAACCUUAGCAUAACCAUACCCAACAAGAAGGUUUGAAUGGUUGGGUUCAAGCUACCCUAAGCUACAUUCCUAUCUCUUUUGCUCUCCCUCCUUUCCUCUCAUCCUUGAUGCAAUUUAGCUUUGAAUUAGAUUUUAAUUGAAUAUUUUGUGUAGUUAAUUUAUUGUUCUAUAGUCUUCUUUUAGUUGCAAUUGGGACGUGCAUGGUGCAUGUUCAAAAAAAGAAAUAAAUAUAAAAUUUUAAGAAUAAAAAAUAAAAGGAGAACAAUAAGAUCUUUCUUAUUAUGUAUUGUCUUUUGUCAUCAAAGUUUAUUGUACUUAUCAAUACCGUAUCGUACCGGAUGUAUUGUAUUGUAUCGGACAUAUCAUACUAUAUCAGGCAUACUGUAUUGUAUCAGACAUAUUGUAUUAUACUAAUAUUGAAUCAAUAUAUAGUCUCAUAUUAUAUUAACACUUGGUACAUCUCGCCUUCUCAUAUUAUACCGUGCACCAAUACUGUAAUAUGAUGGUAUCAAUAUGGGUCGUGGUUUGGAGAUGGCUAAUCUUAGUUGUCAUUCUUAAAAAGAAUAAUUAGAAUACGUAAUGUUUGGACCAAAGAGAGAGAGAGGCAUUAGAAACUCGCAUACCUAAUAAAUAGAGAUUGGAACCCAAUUAUAUUUCUUUCCAUUUUUGAAGAGACAAGGUUUCCUUCUUUUUACUACUCAAAAAAAGUCAAAAUUAUUUAAAUAUGAAGAAGUAAUAGAUUUUUGAAAAUUGAAAGGAUAUUUUUAGUAAAAAAAUUUUAGAUAGAAUUAGAAUAAUAUGUUCUCCAAUUUCAAAAUUAUUUUUAAUAUACUAUAGAUAUUUUGUAUGAAGACUAUGUUUUUUGAUAGAUCAAUUCUAGUUUACUUUUGUAGUCAAUUUUUUAAUCUAUGUGAGUAAAUAUGUUAUCAAUUCCUACAUUAGUUCUAGGGUUUAGAAAUAUUUUCAAGCCUUUGAAAUAGUUUUCUGAAUUACUUUUGAUGGCAUCUUGUAUUGUGCUUAUAUUAACGAAAUUUUGCUAUCUUUAGAUUGUGUAUAAAAUCUUAUUUCCUUUUUAUUUCAUCCUAAGACAAAAGUCUAGAAUCAUCCAACCUAAAUAAAUAAACCUAUAUAGUAAGUCAUAUCAUGUCUUAAGAUAUGAAUGAAAGAGAAUAUUGGCCAUUGGGACAUGCGAGGAUAAUAAUGAAUCAAGAAGAAAAAGAGAGAAACACAGGAAUAUAAUAUUUAUGUGGUUUGGUCUCUUGAUUUAUGUCCAUGGAUAGAGACAAUACAAAUGUUUUACUAUAAAAAAAUUAAAGAUUAUAAUAUAUGAGGUUUCCUCUCAUCUUUUAGAGUUAGGACACACACACACAUAUAUGAUAGAGUAAGUCGCUGUGCACUCAUAUAAUCAUGUAAGUCCAACUUGUGGGGGCUACACCCCUGAACCACCAACUAACUAAUCAUGUGGCCCAAACAAAACAAGUAUCGCGGCCCAAGGGGGGAUCUUUUUUCCUCCACUCCACUCAUUUCACUUGUUGCGCUACAUUCCACUUGCUUCACUCACUCUCUUUUUAUCUUCGUAAAGCUUGUAAACUCAAGAAAUACUCAAUAGAAAGUAAAGAGUAUAAUGGAUCAUGCUCAUGAAUAGAAAUUAUGAUUGUUUUCUAGUUAUAAGCUUUAUGUAUCUUUUAAUGCUUUUGUUCGUCGAUCAGUAUUUAGGUGUUCUCAUAAACUAUGAAAAAUGAACACUUUAGGAGCUUGUAUCUUUUUCCUACUAUUUUUCUGCAUAAAAUAUUGAAAUAAAUUAAAGUUUAUUCAUAGUAGGUUAAUGGAUCCAUUGUCAUUGGGUUUCCUUUAUGAUUACUAAGAUAGUGAUGAACGUAGAUUGGAUGAAAGAUUCCUAUCCAUAUGAUCAAUGGACGUGGGAGCAAUACAAUAAAAUAUAUAAGAGAUAAAAUGUAAUUUAGCACUAUAUUGAACUAGUUUAGUUAUCAAACAUAUCAACUUUCAAUGAAGUGAGUAGAUUUGUUGAAUUUUAUUAAGUCAAUGGCGAAUUGUUAGUAAUUUUAUUUGCAUCCGAUGAUACAAAGGAUAGCUAACCUGCAAAUCAAGAUCGAAAGUGAAAGAUCCUGAAGUUUCCAUAUUUGAACACCUAAUAGACUAGAAAAUUAGUGAUUAAACAUCCAUGGAUAUCUUGAUUGAAUAUCACCAUAUUCUUAUGGCUAAAAUUCUCCCACAAAUGUCAACCAUAAAACUUUCAAAUGUCAAUGAUCUGCUAUGAUGAAUUCUAGACAUCGGCUUAUCCUGAGAGUUACUAGUUACAUAUAUUUUUUCAAUUUCUCUAAUGCUAUUUCAACAUUUUACUGAUGUCGAUCCUAUAGAUUAUUAUUUGGCUUAAGAUCUGUUGAACAAGGUCUUUGGUAUGUUAAUCUAAUAAUUUGGUAGCUCAAAAAGUUUAAGUUGAUAUCCAUCAUUUGUCAGGAUCGUAGCCCCAAUCAUUUUGCCAAAAAGGGCACCCCUAAUGGAAUGGUGGUCUAUUUUUCUUUAACCCGAGUCUAGAGCCUAGCGGUAAGCACACUGGCGGGCCUAAAGGGCUUUGCACCUGGGUCGAUCUGCUUCAAGCCAGAUUGAACCCGUGCGUCGAGCCGGAUAGCUACUCCCAUUUAAUCAAUUCCUAAUCCGAUUAGCUGACCCACCCCCAUAAGUGAGCCAACUAACAGAGAUUACCACGUGGAGUAAGUAGCAUGACCCAUCUAGGCGGCAUGGCCUCUAACAGAUUCGGCCCCACAGGGUUCGCUGGAAAAUCUACAUCAACAAUCCCCCCNNNNNNNNNNNNNNNNNNNNGCAUAACCUGGGGGGGUGUACGAGAUUCGAACCUACAACUUCACUUUGAUACUACAUGUUAGGAUCAUAGCCCUGACCAUUUUGCCAAAAAAGGCACCCCUAAUAGAAUGAUGGUCUAUUUUCCUUUAACCUGAAUCCAGAGCCCAACGAUAAGCACGUUGGUGGGCCUAAGGGGCUUCGCACCUGGGUCGACCUGCUUCAAGCCAGAUCGAACCCAAGCGUCAGGCUGGGUAGCUACUCCCAUUUAAUCCAUUCCUAACUUGAUUAGCCGAUCUACCCCCAUAAGUGAGCCAACUAAUGAAGAUUGCCACAUGGAGUAACCAGCACGACCCAUCGACGACCUCUAACGGAUUUGGCUCUACAGGGUGCGCUAGAAAAUCCACGUCAACAUCAUUGAUUUUAGAGAUCAAAAAAUGGAUCUAACAACUAUGCAUCACUAAAUAGUUUGUACAGGUAUCCUAUCUAUUAGAGAAAUAAAUGAUGCUUUUGUAACUUUGCAAGACCUUUCAUGCUACGACUCCAAUAAGUCAUUUUAAUUAGGGAAUAAGGAUACACCUUUUUCAAAAUAAUAAAAAAAAUAUAAAUUUGUUUAAUAUACUCUAAUAUCAUUCUCUAGUUUUUCUUUUCAUGUUAAUCAACUCCCCCCCACUCCCCUCCAAAAAAAAAAAGAAAGGAUAAUGACUAUCUACAUGCCCACAACUAUUAACACUCACCCAAGUACCCAUUCAAAUAUAACAUGCAUAGCUACAUUACUUCACAUUUGUCAUUUCCAUAUAUGAACCCUUGCACCCACACCUCCACUAAUUGAGCCAUGAUAAGAUCUCUUAAGUCAUCCACAUUUAAUCAAUGAUUUACAAGGAGGCUACAAUAUGCAAGUGAUCAAGGGAGUGCAUACUAUAUAUGCAUUACAUUGGCAUAAUGGUAUUAAGGUACAUGAGAUUGGACCAUAAGAAAAAAUUACAGUGUGCUCGAAAAAAAAUUUAAAAAUUUACUAUUAGACUUAUAAAUAUAAAAAUUCUUAAAUUUAGAAUCCUAUACUUAUGUUAGAUGUAUUCAUUUAUUUCUAUUCACCAUGUUUGUCUCAAGGUAUUGUAAAAUGUAUAUUUGCUAGAACAGUAGGAAAUCUUUUAAGAUUAUCAAAAUAGUUGAAUUAUUAAUAUUGUUGAAAUAAUUGAAAUGAAGAAUGAUUUUACAGCUAUCACAUGAGUGCCUAAAGGGAUGCAUGGGCUAUGGUGAUUGCCUCACCAAAGCUAUUUGACAACUCUAAAGGAGAGCUUGAGGUCAGACCAGAUAUUAUAAAAUUAUUCAUAUAUGGCCAGCUAUAAUGAGGUAGGAAUUAAGUUAUCCCUUGUUUUCUCUUCUAUUAACCAUGUUAUCAUAUAUUCUUGCUUAGUUUUUUCUUUAUUUUUAAGAAAAUAAGUGCAUAAUCCAAUCAUAUUCUUGCCUUCUUAUUUUAAAAAUGAAUUAGGUAACGUAUUAGGAUUGAUCAAGAAAUUCUUCUCAUUGUAUUUAAGAGUUUUCCCAUUAGAAAAAUAAAUUCAGAUAUUUCAUCUUCUUUAAGUUUCAAUUCUUUUAUGUUUUUUUGAUUUUUAUUGCUUGCAAAAAUAAAUUUUAGAUGUUUCCCCUAUGUCUCAAUUCUACUUUGUUUUUGCAUUAAUUGGAGAACAUUUUCUUGGUUAUGGAUUAAACCACACUUGUGUAUUUUAAGUUGAAAAUCAAAAAAUUUCAAAUCUCUGGUUAAUCUUUGAGGAUCUGAAUAAUGUCAUAUAUAACACGUAUAGAUUUGAUUAUCUGAUACAUAUGCACUGCUGAUAAUCUUAGAUUACAUUGUGAUGCUUGGAGAUUGCAGCUUGUUAAAUUGUAGAACUGCUGUAUUGAUAUUGUUAAGAUUUUCUUGUUAGAUAUUAAGAUUUAUAUAGAAAUUGUCCGACCAAAGGCUUUUUCCUUUAUUUUUUUUGAUUUUUUCAAAUUAUUCUGAUAUGACUAAGAUGUGCUUGGCAUAGAUUUUUGAAAUUAUAUAUCGCAUAACCUACUUUGGAUAUUGAUAGAUGGUAAAAGUUUACUUGGGAUAAAAUCUUUCACAGAUUUCAAUGGCAUAAGUUUCAUCCAUUAUUGCUCUCAUGGUUAAGUCACAGUAUCAUAUAUAUCAGUUCAAUAUUAUUGUACGUAUAUAUUUUAUAACAACUAAUUCAAUAUUUUGAUGUACUUUUAGCAUCAUAUAUCAAUUUAGUAUUAUUGUAUGCAUAUAUUUGAUCACAACUAAUUGAGUAUUUUGAUGUACUCUUGGCACCAAUAAAAAAUAAAAAAAUUGAAGAUAAUUUCUAUUGAAUACAGUUGUUCAUGUUGAUUCAACAAGAGUAAUUCAUAUGCUUUGUUUAUACACGAUACAAAUGCUUGUAGGAUAAUUUUCUGAUAUGUUUGAUGCUUAUGUUAAAUAUCCUAUUUUUACAAUUAAGAAAGCCUUCUAGAUACUUUGAGAUAUGCUCAAGAUACUUCUCUAAGAUUUUUCUUUAUUUUUCUUUCAAAAAGAAGAGCUAAGCAUUUAAUUUUGAAUGACCAAUUUUAGAGUUUAUGAUAUUGAUACUAUUAAAUAGAGUUAGGAUUAGGUUUAUGAAUUUAACAAUGAUUAAAUGAUGAGUUUGUAGAAGUUUAUGGAUGCUAUUUUGUAUAUUUACAUUUUUAUGCAUGCUUUUUUGUAUAUCUACAUUCAUAUGCAUAUGUUUAUUUUAAAUUCACAUAUAUUCCAGCCGUAUCAUAUCCUAUUUUUUCAAGAUUUGUCGUAUCAUAAUCGUAUCUGUUUCUUAUAUCUGUGCAUCUAUUUUUCAUAGGUGGGAAUGUGGACCACCAUUUUUAAAGAGCACAUCCUUAAAAAUUGGUAUACUAAGAUUAUGUUCACUUUGCCUGAAUUUGACAAUAUUGAAUAUUGAGAGGCCUUGUCUUGUUUAUACAUGGAAGUUAUAUAUGCAUUGCUUUUAUAGUUUUAUACUAAAUUCUUUGAGUCUUCUUUUAAAUAUUGAAUUUGUGCAUGUUGAGCUUCACCUUAGGUUAUUAUGAUGCAGUUAUAGUUGAUAUUCAAAGUAGAAAACAAACAAAGAACUUUCGCAUAGGUGUAAGUAUAGGGAUAUAUAUAGUUCAAUAUCGAAUUAAGAGAUGCCUUAUAAGGUAUAUACAUAGUUAAAUAUAUCAUUUUCAAGUGAUUACCAUAAUUAUUUCAAUAAAUUUAUUACUUGGAGUUGUUCAUUUCCUUGCAUCCAUGCACUCUUAUAGCUACACUUGUACCAACUUGCACAUGAUUGUGUGAGUACAUUGCACAUGUAUAUCUCAAGAUAUUGUAUUUGCAAAAAUCAGUAGAAUAACAUGCUAUGUUUUGGUGGUGCUGGCUUCAAUAUUAGUGCACUAGAUGGUGAGAGUAUACUUAUAGGUAACAAAGCUUCUUGCCGAGGCUUAAUAAUGAUAUGGGAGUGUUUGCAGCUAUUCGUGUCAUGUAGAAGCUAUCCAAGAUCCACUACCAGGUAGAAAAGUCGGAAUGUGGUUGUUCAUCUAGCCUGUCCUAUACUUGAUAGAAUAUUAUGGCUGUAAAAUUUUGAAGGCUUCACCAAAAUCAAAUGUUGAUAUUUAGUAUUAAGAUCGUAGCUCCUAAUCACUCUUCUAAAAGGUAAUUAUCCGAUUAAAAAAGAGAGAUUUAUUAGCCUUUAUCCACAAAGCACAGAAUCCUACGUCUAUAUGUGCUGCGGGUGGACCUGAGAGGCUCCGUACAGGAGUUGAUCUGCUUCAAGCUAGAUCGAUCCCAGUGGCAGAUGGAGUGGUCACUCUCUUUUUAAUUUUCCAACCGAAGCACAAGCUGACCCCCCAUAAAAGAUCAACCCUCCGAGAAUUGUUGCCACAUCACCAGCCACAUAAACUCCGCGUGGGGGCCCCAAAGGGUGUGCGCUAGAAUAUAGCCAACAAUCUCCUUCCCCUCCCUCGCGACUAUUUGAAGGGCCAAGUAGGAUUCGAACCUACAACCUUGCUCUGAUACCACAUAUUAAGAUCAUAAUCCUUAACCACUCUUCUAAAAGGUAAUUAUCCAAAAGGAGGAAUUUAUUAGCCUUUAUCCAUAAGGCAUAGAAUCCCGUAUCUAUAUGUAAUGCAGGUGGGCUUGGGGGGCUUUGCACUGGAGUCCACCCGCUUCAAGCUAGAUCGACCUCAGCGAUAGGUGGAGCAACAGUCUCCCUUUAAUCUUCCAACCGAGGGAUGAGCCGAACCUCCCAUAAGAGGUCGAUCCUCCGAGAAUUGUUACCACAUCACCAGCCACUUAAACGCCAUGUGGAGGCCUCGAAGGGUGUGCACUGAAAUAUAGACAACAUUUAGGUUACUCGAAAAUAUCAAGGAUAACCGGAUAUGGAGGGAGUUUCUUGUCCCCAAAGCAUGUGUUUUCAAAUUGUCAUUAAAUCUCGUGCAAAAGUAAAAUUUAGAGGAAUAUUGGUCGACUUAUGCAUCGAUAGUUGUAUAGGUGAUUUGUUGUACUAAUACAUUUGAUUUAUCUUGCUAACAUAAAUGACAUUCUCAAAAUUUUCAAUGAUAAAAUCUUCUACUAUUCUUCUUGAAAAUCGUGAUUUACUAUUUUUGAGGUGGAAUUAGAUUAAUAUAGUUGUAUUAUGAUUGUGUUGCUUAUGAGUACUUCUAUAUUUUUGUAUGCAAUGAUUAACAUCAUAGUUUACCAUGUAUUGGACUAUUUUAUCAUUAUUGUUCUAAUGUAGUAUCAUGUUACUUGAUAAACUCAAAUCAAAAUUGCCCAUUAAAUCUGUUGAACAUAUAGAACAAAGUUGUAGCUAGUUUAUAAUAUUGUACGUUGCUCUAGUCCCUUCGCAUUUCCAUCCAAUUCUUUAGGCAUGAGAAAAUCCAAAGAAAUACAAAAUCUCAUAGCAUAAUGACAUUGAAUAAGCAUUGAAAUUCUUAGUUACAUUGCUAAAAGUGGUUGAAACCUUAUUGAAGCAUAUAAUUUUGUGGUGAUUGAUAAUUAUACUAACCUAAUAAUUAGAUUAAUUUUCAAAGGUAGCCACUUCUAAAUAUCUGCAUUUAUGAGCUUCUUAGGUAUUAUAUAGCUCUAUGUUCAUAUACAAAAAAUCAUCAUCAAUGUCAUGAAUACUAAUUGUUGUAUAAAUUUUAAUAUUUACAAUCAAGGCCUUUUAAUAGAGAAAGUGUGGUUCCAUGGGAAAUACAAGAAGCUUAGAUAUUGAGCAAUCUUAUCUAAUGCGGUAUUAUUUACGCAUUGGGGAGAUUUUGGAUACAAGGUUAAAGUUUCGAUAGGAUGGAAGGUAUCUUAGCUAUCCUAUCCUAUUUUUGUGAGAAAAUAGAAUUAAGAUGGGGUCGGAACUCUGAAAUCCAUCCAUAUAGAGAGAGAAGAAGAAAAAAGAAAGAAAGAAGGAAGAAAAGAUAAAGAAAAAAAAAGCGAAGGAAAAGAAGAAGAGAAAAAAUGAAAGAAAGAAAGGAAUGGAUGAAAGAAGGAAGAAAGGAAAGAGAAAGAAGAAAAAAAGAAAAAAAGAAAGGUAGGGAUAAGGGAAGAAAGAAAAGAAGUAAAGAAAGGAAGGCGAAAAAAAGAGAGGAGUAAAGAAAAAAUAAAGAAAGAAAGGAAUGGGAGAAAGAUGGAGGAUAUUUAUUGAGUCACAUGACCGAAAUUGUCAGGAUAGGAUAGGAUAGCAGAACAUUUCAUUCUAUAGAGAAAUUGAAACGCCUCCAUCCCAUGAGAUUUAAAACCUUAGUUGGAUAUUUAGCUUUUGUGGAUGAGAUCCUAGAUCAUAAUAGUACUACUACUAUUAUCCUAUAAAUAUUUGUUGUCUGUUACUAUUAGCCUUUUAGCUAUAGUAUAUGUGCUAAUGUACAUGGCUGUCAAAAAAAUUAUACAUAAGAUGGAUGGACUUUAAAAAGUUUUUAAGAAGAUUAGAUGCUAAACAUAUCUCACAAGGUUAUCAAAAUUUUAUUUACUAUAUCAUGUUCUUAAUCUUUAUCACAUCUUACAAGGUUAGCUUUAUGGAUCUUUCUUCAAUAUUAUCAAUAAUUAAAAUCUUUAAAGGUAUUGAGUUUGUGGACUUAUAUCUCAUGAAAUCUUAGGAGGAUAUAUGAGUUCUUAAUUAUCCACAUGAAUUACUUGAAUGACUAAUUUUUGUUCUCAAAACAUUACCCAAACUGACUACUAGUUAUCCAAGUAUGCUUAUAAAUCACAGUGAUAAAAUUAUACUAUGAUAGUUGUUCAAAAUAAGCAGAAACUAGCCAAAACAUGAAAUUAAUUUUAUUAAUAGACUGAUCUUGGCCAAAAAAAUCUAAUUUGUUUCAAGUAAAAUAGAUUAGUUUUGAGCAAAAUAGGAAGCUUUGAUGCAUUCAUGAAUGCAUAUGGUAUGUUAAACACAAUUAUAUGCAUUUACAUUUGUAAUUUUGUUUGCACAUGCUUGUACAUGUGUGGCAUUUUUACAAGAAUUUCUUGUAAAUUUUCUAUACAAAUGGUGCUUAAUUGGUAGUAAUAAAGUAAGAUACAUCAGAUUGGAUCAUAAGGAAAAUUGUGGUGUGCUUAAAAAAAUAAAAAAAUUACUAUUAUAUAAUUAAAUAUAAAGGAUUUUGAAUUUGGACCCUAUAUUUUAGUUAGAUGUAUUAUGUUAUUUCUGUUCACCAUGUUUAUUUUGACAUAUUAUAAAAUGUAUAUUCGCUAUGAUAGAAGAAAAUUUGUUAGUGUUAUUGAAACAACAAAAAUGAAGAAUGAUUUUAUGGCUAUCAUAUGCAUGCCUAAACAACUAACUGGGCUAUGUUCUAUUGUCAAUGUCUCACUAAAGCUAUUUGACAACUUUGAAGAAGAGUCUAUCAUAAUAUAAGAAUUGAGUUACCACUAAUUUUCUUCUUCUAUUGACCAUGGUAUUAGAUAUUCUUGCUUUAAUUGCUUUUUGAUUUUAUAGAAAAUAUGUGCGAACACAAUCUAGGGUUUAGUAUCUUAUUUUGAAAAUGACUUGGGUAAGGUAUUAUGAUUUAUCAAGGAAUUCUUUUUGUUGCAUUUGAGAGCUUCCCCAUUACACUAAAAAAGAAUCCAGACUUUUCAGCUUCUUUAUUUUUCAAUUCUAGUAUAUUUUUGGCUUUUCUCCCUUACAAAAAUAAAUUCUAGGUGCUUCCACUAUUUCUCAAUUCAUUUUGUCUUUGUGCAUCAAUUUGAGAUGAUUUCUUGGCCAUGGACUUUUAGUAGAAAACCAAACAAUGUCAAAUAUCUGGUUUAUCUUUGAAGAUCUGAAUCAUAUCAUAUAUAACACUUAAAAAUUUGAUCUUCUAAGGCAUGUGUAACUGCCAGUAGUCCUAAAUUACAAUGGAUGCUUGGAGAUUGCAAAUUCUAUAAUUGUAGAACUAUUGCAUUUAUAUUGUAAAUAUUUGCUCACUAGAGUUUGGGAUUUAUGUAGGGACUUGCCCAACCAAAGGCUUCUCCCAUCUUUUUAUUUUUCAAAUUAUUCUGACAUGGCUAACAUAUAUUUAAUAUAUCAUAGAACUUAGUUUGGUUCUUGAUAGAUAGUAAAACCAUCCUUCAGAUAAAAUCUUUCAUCAAUUUUAUGAGCAUAGACUUGGUCUAAUAUUGCUAUCAUAGCCAAGUUGCUGUAUCAUAUAUCAAUUUAUCAUUAUUGUUCAUAGAUAUUUUAGAACAACUAAUUCAAUAUUUCGAUGUACUUUGAGCAUAAUUAAAAAUAAGAAUUGGCAGAUAAUACCCAUUGAAUAUAGGUGCCCUUUGUAAGAUAGAUUUUGUCCAGUGUGUCCUGGAGUUUUUUGUUUGAUCUCCUAUAUAUCCCAUUGAAGCUUUGAUAGAAAAUGGAUAGCAUGGAUCAAGGUACUACUUCAAUCAUCUAAUUCAGCAUUGGUUAUCAAUAAUUCUUUGGGAAAGUGGUGCCGUAACAAGAAGGGUCUAAAGCAAGUUAAUCCUCUCUCUCCCCUAUUAUUCAUUCUAGUAACCGAUUUCCUCACAAAAAUUAUGAAGAAAGCCAAUUCAGAAAAGCUGAUCUAUGGAAUUGGUCCACAUGGCUUAGAGCGGCUCACGCAGUGUCUACAAGUUGCUGAUGACACUCUGGUCUUUUGUAAAGUAGAUAAAUCAAACAUCAACUCACUCAAGUAAAUCUUGUAAAGUUUUGAAUUAGAAAUAGGUUUAAGCAUAAACUUUCAAAAAACUCAACUCAUCGGCUUGGGAAUCGAUGAGUAUUUAACUUUUAACCUUCGCUCAAUGCUCGGUUGUAAGGUAGCUAAGCUAUCCACUUGCUACUUGGGUAUUCCUCUUCAUCAUUCAAAGUUGAACAAAAAAAAUUGGUCCUUUCUCCUUGAUAAAAUAUCAAAGAAGCUGAGUGGAUGGAAAUGGAAGAUAUUGAUUCUUGCUGGUCAAAUUACGUUAACAAAUUUGGUACUUAGAGCCAUUCCCAUCUACUAGGAUGUUAGUGUUGAAGCUUCCUCCGGUGGUUAUUUGAAAAAUCAACCAUUUAUGCCGACAAUUUAUAUGGGAUAGCCAACAAUCUCAAAGCAACAUUAAACAUCUACUGGACUGGAAUCAAAUCUGCAGACCAAGAAGGCAUGGAGGAUUAGGAGUUUUAAGAAUCUCAUUACUCUCAAUCAGGCCUUCCUGCUCAAAUGGUGGUGGAGAUACUUUAACAAUCAGCAAAAGCCAUAGUGUCUGCUACUAAAAGCCAUUUAUCAUGCGAGAAGGUUGCCUAUGAAACUAUUGAGGUGCUUACUAAGAAUCACCUCACCUAUCUAAAGAAAUAUAUAUUAAACUUGUUUGAUCUGUUCAAACAGUAUUUUCACCCGAAGGUAGGCCAUGGGUGUCAAAUCCACUUUUGGCAUGAUAACUAGCUUGGGGAGAGCGAAUUAAAACUCUUCUUGCCUAAUCUAUUCUACUUUGCUAGAAACCAAAAUAGCUUGGUGAGAGAGUUCCUCCUUCAGAGCAAUUUCAAAAUGAAAUUCAGAUACCCACUAAGCCCGCAAGCAAUGAGGGAGCUCCAGAACCUUACAUUACUUCUCCGGUCUUCAUCUUUGUCCUCUGAUCCCAACAAAUGUAAUUGGAAGUAGAAUGCAAAUGGCAUAUAUCAAGUAAGACACUAUGAUAACUUUUUCAUGUACGGUAGAGUGAUCUCUCGCAUUGGUGAAUUCAUAUGCAAGCUUUCUAUCCUAGAGAAGGCUAAACUUCUCUUCUGAUUUUGUUAUCAUGACAAAAUUUUGACGGUAGAAAAAUUUAUCAGGAGAAAUAUCAACAUCAUAGGAAGAUACCCACUAUACGAUGAAAAUGAGGAAUCGUUGAACCACCUUCUGAUAUAGUGUGAUUAUUCCAAAGCCUUCUGGUCCACCAUUCUAUCAAAAUUUAAUGUUCCAGAACUACCAACCUCUGUCAUAGGAGUUUGGGAUUUUUUGGAGGCAUUUACAACAUAUGAACAAUAAUCGGUUUCCAGCUUUCCAAUGUUUAAUCGCUACUGGUGUGUGGUGUCUAUAGAAAAAAUGCAACCUCCAGAUUUUUCAUUUCUGAGCCACCAUGCCUCCUGCGGCGGUAAGGAAAGCAGUCAACUUGCCCAUUUCAGAGCUGGACUUCUAUCGUCUCUCAUCCAAAUGUUUGGCACCUGGUCAGUCAACUUGCCCAUUUAUCUAACACCAUUGGCAACCAGAGAAGUCUGUUGGGUUAAACUCUUCAAUGCUUGGUGAGCUUUAAGCAAAAGAGCCCUGCGUAAGAUAUCGUGCAUGGGGCGCAUCCUAGAGGCCGUCCUUCUACCCAAGGUGUUUCCAAAGUCUCAGUAUGUCACUUGUGGCCCUUUCAAUUUUUUGCUCCUUUUUGUUUGAUAAGACACUCCCAUGCAUUAUUUAGUUCUCUUGUUCAGAAUAGACGGGAAACAGAAUCUAGUCAGGCUAUUAUGUACUUUAUGUAAACCUCUCUUAAUAAUAUAAUAUUACUCGGGGGAAGUUCCUUAUUUUCACUUGGAUUCUCAAAACAAAGAAAAAAGAAUAUAGGUUUUCAUGUUAAUCUAGCAAAAGUAAGUUUAAUCCCUGCAAAUUUUUCCUUUCAAGGUAUUUGAUAUACAUGGUUACUGUCAUUCUACUGAGAAACACAUUAACCUAGUCUAGGUGCGAAAAUGCCAAGUUUGGAUCCAGGAAGAAAUGGAAAGAUGAUAUAUGAUGAUCAAUAAACAAAAUAGGGGGAAAGGAUAAUGAGGUGUGAUCCCUAUUUAUAAAACUACUGACAAAAUGCCGUCUUCAGAUGCCAAUUGACUGACGGUUCAUGUUUAGAAAGAAUUUUUAAGCAAGUAAAUCAAUUCAUGAUAAUAGAUAGAAAGUACAAACCAAAAGGAACGUAGUAAACAUUCAGAAAAAAUUAAUGAAAAACAAUAUCGAGACUGGUGAGGAGGUAGAGGGCUACAUAACCAAGGCAUGGGCUGAUGCUUACCACCUCAGAACCAUCCUAUGUAGAUACAAAGCCUAAACUUGAUCAUGCGGCUAGCAAGCCAUGUGCAUAUGGGGCCACAUAUGUGGCCAUCCAAGAAACAUAGAUGCUAAAUAUUACAUGCUUUAUUUGUAUCUGAUAAAAAUAGUUAUUGGAUGCUAUUGAGAAUUUUUUAAAAUCUCUCAUCUAAUUAUAAGAUAUUUGUAUAGUUUUCUAUUCUUUCUCUUUUUCUAAUGGUAGGAUAUUUGUAUAGUUUCCUAUUCUUCCUUUUUUCCUUAUUUCACUGUAAUCAUAUUUAAUUAUUCUUUAUUUGAUGAGAUUUGAUCUUAUCUCUUAUUUCAUAGGAUUUACACGAGAUUUGAUCUCUUAAGAAGAUCAUUCUUUUGUAUAUUUAUAUGGGAUUGAUUACCCACUAAAAAUAAGAAGUAAAUUACAUCUUUUCUCGUGGUAUCAGAGCUCUUUCCAUAGGGCCUGUUUUUCUGCUGCUACUUUUUCUAUUUGUCUUUAUCACGAAAGUUCACAGUCUUCAUUGCUAUUGGUCCCAUUAUCGUCGAUCUUGUUUGUCUUCAUCGCAGACAUCUUCAGUGUCGACUCCGUUUGCUUUGAUCGCAGAUAUCUUCAUCAUUCUCUGCCUUCAUCGCAGAAGUCAUCGUUGUUCGCAGCUUUUCUCUGUAGGCCAAAUCUAACUGCACUCCCAUUGUCAGUCAGUCUCUUUAUUGUUGCUGUUAUUUGAUUCCUUCUCUUAGUCAACAUGUCUAUAAGGCCAUGGCGUUCAGCCCUUUCGAAUCCAUUUUUAGGACAACUUAACCCACUUUAAAUGGUGAACUGCAGGUCAUGAACUCUUCCUAUCAUCUUGAUGGGAAGAAUUAUUUUCAAUGGUCAUAGUUGGUGAAAACUUUUCCCAAGGAUCUAUACCUGAAAAAUCUAAAAAAGCUGAAUUUCGAAAAUUCAACAAAGAAGAAGUUGAGAAAUUAUAAGAUUUUCUUAACUCUCUGUCUACUUCCUGUGGUUCAUAUUCAUUGGCUCAAUCUAGUAAGUGCCUUGUUUCUAAUUCUCUUAAUAUCGAUACAUUGUCUCAUUUCUCCUCCUAAGGACCUGACUCAGGAGCAACAGAUCAUAUAAGCCAUAGCCCAUCUGGAUUUGAGUCCUACAAAUUAUGCUUAGGAAAUCAAAUAAUUAUCGUGGCUAAUGGUUUCCCUAUUAUCAGAGCCGGCCAAGGCCAAAUUUCCUUAGUCCCUUCCUUUCAUUUAAAAAAUAUGUUACAUGUUACAAAAUUAUCCAUUAAUCUAAUCUCCAUUCAUCAGCUCAUCAAAAAUUUAAAUUGUUGUAUCACAUUUUUUGAUACCCAUUGCAUCUUUCAGGACAAAGUCAUAAAGCAGACGAUUAGAUCUGCUAAAGAACGGAAUGGCCUUUACUACCUUGAUGCUGCCAGUAGUUCAUCCACUCCUACAAACCAGUUCACUCUCUCCCACACAUCGUCCAAUUCUACUCAUCCUUUCUCUUCCAAUGAAUCUGAAAUUUGAAUCCAACAUCUUUGUCUUGGCCAUUCAUCUUUCCUUUUGCAAAAAAAUAUGUUUCUUUUAUUGUUCAAUAAUGUUGAUGUUCAAAGCCUUCAUUGCAAGACUUGUAAAUUUGGUAAACAUCAUCAUGUAUCAUUCCCUUUGAGUUUUAAUAAAUCUUCUAAACCUUUUCUCUCAUACAUAUAGAUAUUUAGGAUUCAUCUAGAAUUUCUACUUAUACUGGGGCAAAGUGGUUUGCAUCAUUCAUUGAUGACUAUACUAAGACCACGUGGAUAUAUCUUAUGAAGAAAAAAUCUGAGGUCAGCCAUAUAAUUCCAUCUUUCCACUAAAUGAUAUUGACUCAAUUCAGGGUAUCCAUACAAAAGAUUCAUUCUGAUAAUGCUCGAGAUUAUUUUAAUUUCACUCUUGCUUCUUUCAUAAAAAAAGAAUCAUUCAUGAAUCCUCUUGUGUUGACACGCCCCAACAAAAAGGGAUAGCAGAGAAAAAAAAUCGAUAUCUUCUAAAUAUCACUUGUGCCCCUCUUUUUUAUUCUAAUGCCUCAGAAUUUUUUUGGAGAGAUGCUGUCCUUACAGCAACUUUUCUGAUUAAUAGAGUCUCUUCACGUAUCUUUGGUAAUCAAUCUCCUAUUCACCUAUUGUCUACCUUUCACUUUGAGCUUCAUUAUCUGAGUAAUCUUCCUCUUCGCGUCUUUGGGUGUGUCUCAUAUAUCCAUGUUCAUAAACAACAUCGGGAAAAGCUUGAUCCUAGAGCUCUAAAUUUUAUUUUCGUGGGCUAUUCCAAUACACAAAAAGGGUAUAAGUAUUAUCAUCCUUCUACUCAAAAAAUGUUUAUCUCCAUGGAUGUCACCUUUAAUGAGAACCAAUUUUAUUUUUCCAAACCCCAUUCCCCUCUUCAGGGGGAGAAGCCUAAGGAUAGUUUGGAAUGGGUUGUCCUUGAUAAUCUUUGGAGUCUACAACUGAUACCUCUUCCACUUGAACUAUCCUCAUAUAAGAUGCCUCCUCCAUAUGAACCAUCCUCAUAUGAGCCAGAACAAGACACUAAAAAUCAGCAACAAAAGCAGCCUGAAUUACUGCAGUAUUCAUAGAGAAAAAAGAUGAUUUUCGAACCAAUGCAGACCCAAGACUCUAAUCAGGAUGAACAAGAGCCAGAUAAAUCAGUUUUUCUCACUGAUUCUAUUCUUAAUGAAUCUAUUCCUGAAGAGCCUAUUUCUCAAAAUCUCUAAAUCCUAAUUACCUUAAGAAAGGCCAUCAGAAAGUGCACUCAACAUCCAAUCUAUCCAAUUUCACUGUUUGUCUCCCUUCAUCAUCUUUCUUCAUAACAUAAAAGUUUUCUUACUACCCUAGACUCAAUUGAUAUCUCUAAAAUCAUACAAGAGAUAUUAAAGAACAAAAAUUGGAUACAAGCCAUGAAAGAGGAAAUGACUGCACUAGAGAAGAAUAAGACAUGGGAGGUUGUGACUGGGCCAAAAGGGAAACAACCAGUUAGAUGCAAAUGGGUUUACACUUUAAAAUACAAAGUAAAUAGAUCUCUUAAGAGGUACAAAGCAAGAUUAGUUACAAAGGGGUAUCCACAAAUCUAUGGGGUAGACUAUCAUGCACCAGUAGCAAAGAUGAAUACCGUAAGAAUUUUAUUAUCUCUUGCUGCUAUGUUUGAUUGAGAUUUGCAGCAAUUUGAUGUCAGGAAUGUAUUUCUAUAUAGAGAUUUAGAAGAAUAGGUCUUUAUGGAGCCACCAUCCAGAUUUGAUGGAGAUUUUGGGGUUGAUAAAAUUUGUAGUUUGAAAAAGACUUUGUACGGCCUAAAACAAUCUCCUAGAGCAUGAUUUGGGAGGUUUACAAAGGCAAUGCUGAGAAUGAGAUACAAACAAAGCCAGAGAGACUACAUAUUAUUUAUAAAAUACUCAGAUAAAGAUGAAGUUACAGUCUUACUAGUGUAUAUGGAUGAUAUUAUUAUGAUAGAAAAUGAUGCAUCUAAAAGAGAAUCUCUUAGAAAAAGAUUGGCUCAAGAAUUUGAGAUCAAAGAACUCAAAAAAUUGAAAUACUUUCUAGAUAUUGAAGUGGCUUACUCAAAAAAAGUUAUAUUUGUCUCUCAAUGAAAAUAUGUACCAGACUUUCUUAAAGAAAUCAGAAAUUUUUGCAGCAAAGCAACAAGUAUGCCUAUUGAUUAUAAUCAUAGGAUAGAAAAAACUGAAGAGGAUAGCUCAAUUGAUAAAGGAAGAUAUCAGAGACUUGUAAGAAAAUUAAUUUAUCUUUCACAUACAAGAUCAGUCAUUGCCUACUCUAUGAGUGUAGUCAAUCAGUUUAUGCAUGACCCAAAAGAAGAACACUUGUAAGCAAUUUACAGAAUCCUGCACUAUCUUAAAGCUACACCAGGUAAGAAAAUCUUGUUUCAGAAAAGGAGUCCUAUACUGAUGUUGAUUAUGCUGGAUCACAAGUUGACAGAAGAUCAACAUCUGGACACUGCACAUUUCUAAAAAGUAAUCUGAUGACUUGGAGGAGUACAAAAUAGAAUGUGGUAACAAAGUCUAGUGUUGAGGCUAAGUUCAGAGCCAUGGCUCCAGAGAUUUAUGAACUACUGUGGGUAAAAAUAAUCCUAGAUAACUUAAAGAUCAAGAGAGAAGGAAUGAUAAAGCUAUAUUGUGAUAACAAAUCUGUCAUUAAUAUUGCUUAUAAUCCGAUUCAGCAUGAUCGGACCAAGCACAUUGAGAUAGACAAAUACUUCAUAAAGGAGAAGUUGGACAAUGGGUUGAUUAGUAUCCCAUAUAUGCCAUCAGAGAAUCAGUUAGCUGAUGUUCUAACCAAGGGUCUACCUACAAUGAGAUUUCAAGAAAUUAUUAGCAAGCUGGGAAUGAAAGAUAUUCACUCACCAGCUUGAGGAAGACUGUUGAAAAUUUUCUAAAAUCUCUCAUCUAAUUGUAGGAUAUUUAUAUAGUUUCCUAUUCUUUCUCUCUUUAUAAUGGUAGGAUAUUUGUAUAGUUUCCUAUUCUUCUUCCCUUUCCUUAUUUCUUGUAACUAUAUUUAAUUAUCUCUUAUUUGAUGGGAUUUGAUCUUAUCUCUUAUUUCAUGGGAUUUACACAGGAUUUGAUCUCUUAAGAAGAUCAUCCUUUUGUAUAUUUAUAUGGGAUUGAUUAUCUACUGAAAAUGAGAAGUAAAUUAUAUCUUUUCUCAAAUACUCUUAUCAUAUGUGUUUGAUACUUAUGUUAAAUAUCCUAUUUUUUAAAAUUAAGAAAGCCUUCUAAAUACUUUCGGAUACGCUCAAGUUACUUCUUUGAUAUCUCCAAGAAUGAAAUCAAGGGAUUUUUCUUUCUUUUUCUUUCAAGGAUGAAUGCUAACCAUUUAAUGAUAAAUAAUUAAUUUUUGAGUUAAUAAUGUUAAUACUGUCAAAUGGGGUAGGAAUUAGGUCUAUGAAUUUGAAUGAUAAAAAAAUGAUGAGUUUGUAAAAGUUCAUAGAUGCUUUUUUGUAUAUCCACAUCAUAUGCAUAUGUAUUUGUAAAAUUCAUAUAUAUUUGUUCCAUAUCCUAGUUGUAUCAUAUUGUUGGGGGGUAAUACGUCCACUAUGAGCUAAUGAAAGUGGAUACCUUGGACCCUAUCUGAUAUGAUAUACCCUGAGCACUAUUUGAACUCUAUUGAUGACCGACCUGGAAGCUUACCGACUAGGCGUUCCUUUGAGAGGAAAGGACAGAUGAUACUAAGAUUGUUGGGGGCUAGUAUCCCAUUAUCAUCAGAGCUCGACUUUGCCAACCACUCUGAGGAACCGAUCCCUCUAGGGGUUCGGCAUCGCCUUGUCUGUUUCGAUCUCCACAGCAAGCACAUCAUCAGGAGAUGCAAACCCUUGGCCGCCUACUUCGGAGGAUGAUUAAGGAUCGGACAAACGAUCUCCACCUGGUGCUCAAGCUGGGGAACACCAAAUGAUUCCCAUUGUGGACUAGCUGGGCUCCAUUAUCUAGUCGCAUCACUCCAUCUAUCAGUCGCAUCACCAUUCCUUUCACAACUGCGUGCCGAGAGAAUUUAUGAUCGCUCUCAUAGAUACUUAAAACACCUCACACAGCCUUGUGUGAUAAGACAUGAUCAUAAUGACCCCUUAUCCUUUCACCCUUAGAAUUUAAUCCUCCCUUCGUUGAAGAAGGGACCCCUACCAAAAUUGCGACACCGAUCUCCGACUUGAUCAUGGGUUCCGACACCCUAUCGAUCCAUACGUUAUCCCAUCCUUGCCAAGAUGGUGCGCAAGAGCCAGGCAUUGAGCCGAGGAUGGCCCGACUAUCUCUAGAGAUUUUGAGUCAAUCCUUAUACCUAAUCAAUCUUUGGAUCAUACACUAUUACAAUCUAUUGUAUACCGAGAGGCUGACCUUUUCUCGGACCCCAUGCGGUGGGCUAAAUCGACCCUUAAUUAGUGCCGACCCCCACUUGUCCAACCCUUCGCUGACCUUGGAUGGUCCACUUCAGAGAACCUUUGAGCCUUCUUCCUAGCCACCGACCUCCCCUACAAACAACCAAUGGAGAAGCUAAUCUAGGUGAAUCAACUGAUCCCUUGAGCCAAUAGCAUCUGGCAAUGAACAUAUUCGUAAGCUCUUGAGCUUCGGUGUAUUGGGCAAUGACUCUAUCUAAAAUACGAGUCAAGAUACAUCAAUUAUGAUUUUUGUCCAUAUGAGUCAAAUCAGGGUACACCUUUUCAUGUCAUUAUCCUACUUGUGACUCAUACACUGGAUAAACUCACAUCACUUGGCCUCCCCUGAUCAACCACAUGCCUCACAGCUCUGCGUGACGGGAUCAUUGGAAUAACUUUCCAUCCCUCCUUGCUUGACUUUAGCUCCCUCCAUUAAUAAAAAGAGCAGAGAGGAUUCUCGAGGAACAUGCGAAUGAUGGGUCAUCUGGGCAUCAGGCUCGAGGUCAGGGAAAACUCAGUUUUGACAUUAUCUCUGGGGAUUCUAAUGAGUCAAUCCUUACUCUUAAUCGAAUCUCGGGUUCUUCACUAUUAUAACCUAUCACUUUGAAGGUAGUCCCUGCCAUACCGACCCUCCGAAUAGGACCCCCUAAAAGUUUUCUGAUACUUAUAUUCCUGCCCACAAGCAGUUCGGACUAACUGGCCGACCCUCCCCACCUGGCCAGCACUCUCCAUCUAGCAGUAAGGACCUUCUGGCCUCCAAACUUUGGCGUCGAAGGAGGGAUCGGGCAUCGGAUAACAAAAUAGGCUCAAGGACUAAUUAUGAUUCUUGUCCAAAUAUGUCAAGUCAGAAUAUAUUACCGCCGUUUCACUUGCCACCUACAUGUCCACCAAGCCUAUGUCACAUCACCUUCCUUGUCAACUGUGCGCUAGCUAAAAGAUCCAUUUACCAACUGACAUGAUUCGUAUGGCCCAUGGCGUCACCAAUCCCUAUAUAAGUAGCAGUAAAGAGGAGACCUACAUGCCCUCUUGAAACUUUUUCUCCCUUCUCCUCUGUUGUAUCAUAUUUCUGACUUGAUCGUCUGUGGAUCUUCGUCGGAGUCAAUUUCGAUCAUGGCUUGUUUUACAGGAAUGCAGUUCUGGUGAUCUCCACCCUCAUUCACACGCGGUCGAAAAUCUUCUGCAACACAUAUCAUAAUUUUUCAUGAUUUUUCAUAUCGUGUCAUAUCUAUUCUUGCAUCUGCAACAUCUGCAUAUCUAUUUUUCAUGGGUAGGAAUGUGCCUUGGCGGAUCCUUCAAAUUUGGUAUAUUAUGAUUGUGUUCACUUUGCCUGAAUUUGACAAUACCGGAUAUUAAGAGGCUUUUUAUUAUGUGGACUUUGAAGCUGUGUAUGCAUUAUCUUUAUAGUUUUACAUUGAAUUUAUUGAGUCUACUCAUAAACAUUGAUUUUGUGAAUGUUUUCACCUUAGCUGAUUAUGAUAGAGUUGCAGUUGAUAUUCAAACUAGAAAAUAAACAAAGAAAUUUUAUCUAAGUGUAAGAAGCAUACAUACACAUAUAGUUUGAUAUUGAAUUAAGGGAUGCAUUAUUAGGUAUAUAGAUAGCUAAAUAUUAUUUUCAAAUGAUUACUGCAAUUAUUUUCAAUAAAUCUAUCUUUUGGAGCUGCACAGAUCCCCGCACCUAGCUACAUAAGUACAAACUAGCACAUGAUAGUACUCUCACAUGUAGAUAUUAGUGUAUUUGUUCUUGUGGGUUUGAAGUAUAGAGAGUAUGUUUUAUAUUGCAAGAUAUUGUAUUUCCUAUGGUUCGUAGGGUAACAUAUUAUUUUUUUUUGUGGUGCUAGCUUCAGUACCAAGGCACAGGGAUGAUGAGAAUAUACUUGAAUGUAACAAAGCUUCUUGUUUGAGCUUGGUAAUGAUAUGGUGGCUUUUACUGCUGUAUAUGGCAUGCAGAAGCUGUCCAGGAUCUGCUAUCAGGUAGAAAAGUCUCAACAUAUAUAUAUGGUUGUUCAUCUAGCUUGUCUAAUACUUUUUGAUAGAAUAUUAUGGCUAAGAAUAUUGAAGGCUUUACAAAAAUCAAUGGUUGGUAUCUAAGUUACUUAGAAACAAGAUACCGGAUCCCGUACCAGUACCAUCCUAUUAUAGUGUCCAUAUGCAAUUAGGUGUAAUACGAGAAAUCAUACCAAUACAGUAUCAAUAUGGUAUGGUAUGGUAUGUCCCAUGUUAGGGAGUACGGUAAAUUAUGCUUAGAAAUAUAAAGGAUGGUGAGAUAUGAAGGGGACUUUUUGUUGGUCUGCUUAGAAAUGUCAAGGAUAGUGAGAUAUGAAGGGGGUUUUUGUCUGCAAAUCUUGUCUUUGCAAAUUGCCAUUAAAUCUUAAGCAGUAGUAAAAUUUAGAAUAACAUUGAUCAACUUAUGUAUUGGUAAUUUGUUGUACCAAGCCAGUUGGUUUAUUUUUCUAAACUAAAGUCCUGCUCAGAAUUAUCAAUGAUGAUAUCUUCCUUGACAUUCUCCUCAAAAAUUAUGAUUUGAGCUGUUCAUUUUGAGGCGGAGACAAAUAAAUAUAAUUAUGAGUACUUAUAUAUUUUUGCAUUCUUUUUUUAGCAGCAUAGUUUACUAUGUAUCACACUAUUUUAUUUGCUUUUGUAUCACUACUUUUUGAUGUAGUAUGCUGUUAUCACUUUACAAACUAAAAGAAAAAUUACCCAUUAAGUCUUUCAAUCAUGUAGAACAAAGUUGUAGUUAUAGUUCAUAAUAUUAUACAUUGCUUUGAUCCCAUCUGUGUUUCCACCAACCCUUUUGGUAUUGGGAAACCCAAAGUAGGACAAAAUCUCAUAGCAUAAUGACAUUGAAUGAGCAUUAAAACUUCUCAGUUACAUUGCUGAAAGUGGUAGAAAUCUUAUUGAAGCAUAUAAUAGGCCAGGAUUACUGAUAGUGACCAAACAGUUGUAUUAAUUUUAAGAACGAAAGCCACUUCUGCAUGCUGAAACACCUAU